GACGAACGCUGGCGGCGUGCUUAACACAUGCAAGUCGAACGGGAACGUCGGGUCUUGUUGCGCUGGGGUAGUGGCGAACGGGUGAGUAACACGUGAGUAAUCUGCCCCUGACUCUGGGAUAAGCUCAGGAAACUGCGUCUAAUACGGGAUACGAGCUCCCGCCGCAUGAUGGGCGCGGGUAAGAUUCGCCGGUUGGGGAUGGACUCGCGGCCUAUCAGCUUGUUGGUGAGGUAGUGGCUGACCAAGGCCUUGACCGGUAGCCGGCCUGAGAGGGUCGCAGGCCAAACUGGGCCUGAGAUACGGCCCAGACUCCUACGGGAGGCAGCAGUGGGGAAUAUUGCACAAGGGGCGGAAGCCAGGUGCAGCAACGCCGCGUGGGGGAAGACGGCCUUCGGGUUGUAUAGCGCUUUUAGCUGGGACGAAGCGAUAGUGACGGUACCGGGAGAAUAAGCUCCGGCUAACUACGUG
rnacentral:rRNA from 1 species